rnacentral:rRNA from 1 species
UACGGGGGGGGCAAGCGUUGUUCGGAAUUACUGGGCGUAAAGGGCUGGUAGGCGGCCAACUAAGUCGGAUGUGAAAUCCCCAGGCUUAACCUGGGAACUGCAUCCGAUACUGGUCGGCUUGAAUCCGGGAGAGGGAUGCAGAAUUCCAGGUGUAGCGGUGAAAUGCGUAGGUAUCUGGAGGAAUACCGGUGGCGAAGGCGGCAUCCUGGACCGGCAUUGACGCUGAACAGCGAAAGCUAGGGGAGCAAACGGG